GGAUGGCUGUUUAACAGUAUUUAUCCCAGUGUUGGUUCUGUCUGUCGGUUACUAAUUCAAUUGUAUACAGAGGUCGUUCUCACACCCGGGGCACAGGGAUACGUACUCUCCAAUAUAGUCGGUACUUUUAGGGUGAAGUUACAUAACAAGGAAUAACGCUUUGUUUAAUUUCUGAUAGGGCACGUUGAAUAACUCAACAAGCACGCAUUGCGAGAAUCGACAGGUCAUUUCUGGUGCUGGCUUCACGUUUGAAAUGGAUACCCCAGAGUUACCUGUCGAGGUUGUGUAAUAACAGAAUUCUUGUGUGCAUCCUGAGCUUCCUGCAAGGACCAGACAGAAAGGAGGCCUCACUGGUCUGCAAGAUCUGGUACUUAGCUUCCCAGGACUGGCAGUGUAAGGUCCCUGGCCGUGCUGGCGGAGGAGUGCAAGGUGCUCAAGAGCCUGGACGUGUCCAUGUGUAAAGGUUAAUGUGUAAAGGUUUCCAUGGCAGCGGUCGAGCUCCUCCAAUCACAGCUCCCCAGCCUGGAGAACACCUACACUCUCUCUGUGGGUGGGGCUGACCUUUCCUUCACCCUCUGAGGAGGACACCGGUCACUGGGAAGAGAGGAGGAGCCCAGGGUCCAGACAGGCUGCAGGGGAACCUGGACGUACCCCACCUACUGGAACUGCACAGCUGCUUGCUGGGUGUUAGGGGACUGGGGUGCUGUGCUGUUGGUGUAUUGGGGUAAUCCAGAGUAACUCCAGCCUCCAUAAUCUAUCUGGAAGUGCCAGUCUUUUACACAGGAUCCUACAAGAAGAAUGUGUUUUGUCGCAGGUAGCCAUGCUGUCCCAACCCAGCUUGCGUACGGACUUCAUGUACAGUAACAAUUCAACAUGCCUGCCAAUAACUCCACCUCAGCUCUGCAUCAGAACACAGAGGCGCUCUUUCUCUCUCUCUAUAGAUAUAGGUAUAGAUAUGUAGAAUUGGGCUUUACAAGCGCAGCACUGAUAUAUAAAAAAGGGAUUUUCUACUGCCGCAAUACACUUGCAGGAAGUGUCCAGCUUUCCCUGUGGUGCUGAGAGGACACUAUUCAAAUCACAUCUCCUUUUGUUUAGUACACCAAACAUUUUUCAUUUGAAAUUGCCCACGCAAACCUGGUCUCAGGACAGCAGAGGUUAAGUGCUUAAAUAGAUGUCUUUACAAAGCAUUAUCAUACCAAGAAUAAGAAACAAUAAUUAAGAAAUAAAAAAAACAUAUCUUUCAGGGAUGUAGAGAAUUGGGGUUUACUUCAUUGUU